ACGCUCGACACCUACGGGGGGCAGCAGUAGGGAAUUUUCGUCAAUGGGGGGAACCCUGAACGAGCAAUGCCGCGUGAGCGAAGAAGGUCUUCGGAUCGUAAAGCUCUGUUGUAAGAGAAAAACGAGCGCCAUAGGGAAUGAUGGAGCAGUGAUGGUAUCUUACCAGAAAGCCACGGCUAACUACGUGCCGGCAGCCGCGGUAAUCUGAGCGGGCUGGCAAGGC
rnacentral:rRNA from 1 species